rnacentral:rRNA from 1 species
GGAUGAACGCUAGCGGCAGGCCUAAUACAUGCAAGUCGAGGGGUAAGAGUCAGCUUGCUGACUACACGACCGGCGCACGGGUGAGUAACGCGUAUGCAACCUACCUUUAACAGAGGAAUAGCCCCGAGAAAUCGGGAUUAAUACCACAUAACAUUAUGAUAUGGCAUCAUAUUAUAAUUAAAACUCUGGUGGUUAAAGAUGGGCAUGCGUGACAUUAGCUUGUUGGUGAGGUAACUGCUCACCAAGGCAACGAUGUCUAGGGGUUCUGAGAGGAUGAUCCCCCACACUGGUACUGAGACACGGACCAGACUCCUACGGGAGGCAGCAGUAAGGAAUAUUGCGCAAUGGAGGAAACUCUGACGCAGCCAUGCCGCGUGCAGGAUUGAAGGCCUUAUGGGUCGUAAACUGCUUUUAUUUAGGAAUAAACUUUCGUACGUGUACGAAACUGAAGGUACUAAACGAAUAAGCACCGGCUAACUCCGUGCCAGCAGCCGCGGUAAUACGGAGGGUGCAAGCGUUAUCCGGAUUUAUUGGGUUUAAAGGGUGCGCAGGCGGACCAAUUAGUCAGUGGUGAAAUCCCGAGGCUCAACCUCGGAACUGCCAUUGAUACUGUUGGUCUUGAAUACGGUUGAAGUAGGCGGAAUGUAGCAUGUAGCGGUGAAAUGCAUAGAGAUGCUACAGAACACCGAUCGCGAAGGCAGCUUACUAAACCGAUAUUGACGCUCAGGCACGAAAGCGUGGGGGAGCGAACAGGAUUAGAUACCCUGGUAGUCCACGCCGUAAACUAUGAUCACUCGUUGUUGGCAAUACACAGUCAGUGACCAAGCGAAAGCGAUAAGUGAUCCACCUGGGGAGUACGAUCGCAAGGUUGAAACUCAAAGGAAUUGACGGGGGCCCGCACAAGCGGUGGAGCAUGUGGUUUAAUUCGAUGAUACGCGAGGACCCUUACCUGGGCUCAAAUGUAAGUUGACAGUUCCUGAAAGGGAAUUUUCUUCGGACAAUUUACAAGGUGCUGCAUGGUUGUCGUCAGCUCGUGCCGUGAGGUGUCGGGUUAAGUCCCAUAACGAGCGCAACCCCUACUCUUAGUUGCCAUCAGAUAAUGCUGGGGACUCUAGGAGAACUGCCUACGCAAGUAGAGAGGAAGGUGGGGAUGACGUCAAAUCAGCACGGCCCUUACGUCCAGGGCUACACACGUGCUACAAUGGCCGGUACAGAGGGCAGCCACCUGGUGACAGGGAGCGAAUCUCUAAAGCCGGUCUCAGUUCGGAUCGAAGUCUGCAACUCGACUUCGUGAAGCUGGAAUCGCUAGUAAUCGCGCAUCAGCCAUGGCGCGGUGAAUACGUUCCCGGGCCUUGUACUCACCGC